rnacentral:rRNA from 1 species
AACGAACGCUGGCGGCAGGCCUAACACAUGCAAGUCGAGCGAAGCCUUCGGGCUUAGCGGCGGACGGGUGAGUAACGCGUGGGAACGUGCCCUUUGGUACGGAAUAGCCCCGGGAAACUGGGAGUAAUACCGUAUGUGGUCGAGAGACGAAAGAUUUAUCGCCAAAGGAUCGGCCCGCGUUGGAUUAGGUAGUUGGUGGGGUAAUGGCCUACCAAGCCGACGAUCCAUAGCUGGUUUGAGAGGAUGAUCAGCCACACUGGGACUGAGACACGGCCGAAACUCCUACGGGAGGCAGCAGUGGGGAAUCUUAGGCAAUGGGGGAAACCCUGAUCUAGCCAUGCCGCGUGAUCGAUGAAGGCCUUAGGGUUGUAAAGAUCUUUCAGUGGGGAAGAUAAUGACUGUACCCACAGAAGAAGCCCCGGCUAACUCCGUGCCAGCAGCCGCCGUAAAAC